GAUUGAUGGGGAUGGUUGGGGGCAUUUGUAUUUAACUGUCAGAGGUGAAAAAUUUUUGAUUUGUUAAAGACAAACUAAUGCGAAUGCAUUUGCCAAGGAUGUCUUCUUUAAUCAAGAACGAAAGUUAGGGGAUCGAAGACGAUUAGAUACCGUCCUAGUCUUAACCAUAAACUAUGCUACCAAGAAAUUGGAGGCGGUUGCCUGUUGAUUCCUUCGGCAUUUUUUGAGAAAUCAAAGUCUUUGAGUUCCAGGGGGAGUAUGGUCGCAAGACUGAAACUUAAAGGAAUUGACGGAAGGGCACCACCAGGAGUGGAGCCUGCGGCUUAAUUUGACUCAACACGGGGAAACUCACCAGGUCCAGACAUAGUAAGGAUUGACAGAUUGAUAGCUCUUUCUUGAUUCUGUGGGUGGUGGUGCAUGGCCGUUCUUA
rnacentral:rRNA from 1 species